UACGUAGGCAGCGAGCGUUGUUCGGAGUUACUGGGCGUAAAGAGUGCGUAGGCGGUUUUCUAAGUUUGGUGUGAAAUCUCCCGGCUUAACUGGGAGGGUGCGCCGAAGACUGGAAGGCUUGAGUAUGGGAGAGGUAAGCGGAAUUCCUGGUGUAGCGGUGAAAUGCGCAGAUAUCAGGAGGAACACCGGUGGCGAAGGCGGGUCUCUGGGCAACAACUGACGCUGAGGAGCGAAAGCGUGGGGAGCGAACAGG
rnacentral:rRNA from 1 species